CUCAAAACAGCCUGGUACAGUUUCUAGCCAGGUUACAGGAAAUAAUACUUAGUUUAUCUGUUUUUUCAUUAUUCAGCGUCUCAAAAUCCAGCCAUUAACGUUAAUGGUUCUUAAAGUUGAGGCAAGACAAUUAUUGGAUUUUGUUUUAUAGCAAGAUUUAACAAAUAUUUUAUUUCCUUACUGAUUAUUUGUUAAUUUUAUGGUUUUCAUAAAGAUGAUCCUGAGAGGUUCAGAGCUGCUUUUCGCAGCACCCUGUGCUAUUUUUAGACUGCGGAACUCCUGUGUGUAAAAGUGGGUGGAGUCAGGUCCCCAGGCUGAAACUCCAGUCAUUCUCACUAGAUCUGUCCGAGAGGAAGGAUCUCCUGAAUACCCUAACCAGAAGCCUUAAGUCUCUCGAACUAAAUAACCGUCUAGUAAAAACAUGGACCGCACCCUGUUUCUCAAGCAGCUGCUCCCUCUAUUAAAAACUGCGUCAUUCAGAAGAUCCAGCGAAAGCAGCAUUUACUUCUCAUGCAAGAAGACACACAUUCACUCAUUCACAAGGCACAGAGACAUUCUUUGUUUGUCACAGUCUCUUUUUAUUAUUAUUAUUAUUUUUUUAAGGUAAGUCAGUUCGUCACUUAUUUAUUCUCUCUCUAUAUAUAUAUAAUAUUUUAAGCACAGAAUUUAUUUAACACUGCACUGGUUAUUUUCAGAAUUUAAUGCUUACUAUGCUUUUAAGCAGGCCUUAUGUAACAUUAGAGCAAAUCCAAUUGCAAUUUUUUUGAGAGCGCUCUGAGGAAUAGUUUAUAUAUUUAUUUUCUGCAGAUCUGUUUUGAUUUUACUGUUUAGCAGCUAUAUGACUAUAUUUCUAAAAUAAAGCUGUCAUUUACAUCCUUA